rnacentral:lncRNA from 1 species
CAGUGUGUUUGUGUGUAUGUGUGUGCAGUAGUGUUGUGUGCCGAGGCGGUGUGCAGUAGUCUAGAGGCCAGAAGUAAAUGUAAUCUGAUUUCCUCUGCAGUACAUCGAGUCUCCCGACGUGGAGAAGGUAAAGAGAUUGCUAAGCACUGACGCAGAGGCCGUUAGUGUCCGUGUCCUUUUAUCUCACGCACUGGGGCAAACAAGCACAUAUAUAAACCCGUCCCUUGGAUCAGGGCUGUCAAACUCAUUCCAUAGAGGGUGUAGUGUCUCCGGGUUUUUCUUUUUUUCUUUCAAUUAAGAGCUAGACAACCACGUGAGGGGAGUUCUUUACUCAUUAGUGACCUUAAUUCAUCAAUCGAGUACAAGGGUGGAGCAAAAACCCACAGACGCUCGGCCCGCCGUAGAAUGAGUUUGGCACGUGCCUAAGGCGUACACCUGAUGGAGUACCAGGUGCAGGUAGACGGUGUGAAGGCCAAGCUGAAGGAGAUGGGCGCCAGCAAGAAACAACAGGAGGACCUCAUCAUGAAGGUGGAGAACCAGGUGCUGAAACUGGCCUCGCUUCAGGAGCAGCUGGACUCACUGAUCGAGAAGUGACCCAAGUGACCACCAGGGGGCAGCCAAGCGUCAAAUGGGUGCUGUGAGACCGGCUGGGGAAUAGAGAAGAAGCAUCUGCCACCACUGAAAGAGCACUCCUCCUUUACAUACAGUUUCAUUCCAUUAUAUAUUUUCCCUUUUGCCUCCAGACAUCAUGGACUUGUUGGAGGACUCGUGUUUCCUGUUUUUGUAUUCUUCCUAUUUUAUUUAAUAGGUUGGUAGAUCUCUGUAAAUAAACUCUUUGUUAAGCCAUUGAAUCGUUUGUGUUUGACAUUUCCUAGUGACGGAUCAACACUGUCUCACCUCAUUUGACCUAGCAAUGGAAACCACUGAGUCUGAC